AACUGGCGAUGAGGCAAAAGGUUGCUGCAAAGGUAAAGGACUUUGCAGGGAAUUUUUGCUGAGUAUGUCUUGUCCUUUGAGACGGGCGACAC
rfam:Caldicellulosiruptor saccharolyticus DSM 8903, complete genome.